GGGUUUUGGUUAGUACUUUGGUUAGCGAUUUUCAUAUUUAUGUGAUUAUGAUUAUGCCUCUGUAAAUAUUGUGGUACUUUUGAGACAGGUUCUCAUGUAGCCUAAGCUGGCCUCAAACUCAAUAUGUAGCCUAGGAUGACCUUGAACUCCUGAUCCUUCUGCCUCCAUCUCUUGAGUGUUGGGAUUACAGAGUGCCACCAUGUCAGGCUACUCAGCGUUUUUGUAAGGUCUUUGAGUCUGGGAACCAAAUUCACACAUCAGAUUAACAACAACCAAGUUUUGUAUUUUCAUAGGGAUUGUAGAUGCUGUAUGUGCUAACGGGAUCUUAGCCAUUUGCUUACCUUCUCCUGAACCUCUCUCUUCACUGACAAAGAGAAGGACGUGUAAAGAGAUGGCCGAAGGCAGCUGCUUUUAGACUUUUUGGACAGGGCUGUGUGACUUUUCCUGAGGAGACCUGAACAAAUGUCUGUUCACCACAGUGGGCCACCACCAGCAGAGAGGCUGUCCCCAGGAAAGGAAGGUGUUGCCGGAGGCAUCAGGACGGGACCGUGAGCCCCUCUGUUCUAAGCGCUGCUCCACAGCCCUCAGAAUGUAGUGAGAAACAUUUUGGCUCCUUCGCUUUGGAUCCUCUGUUAGUUUCUCCAGCGAGGUGGAUCGCACAGCUGUUGGCUUCCCCUGAGCCUGCUGUUAAUUUCUCGCUCCUGGCAGAUGGACCACGGGUCCCUUCCCCUCUCUGGCCCUCCACACUGGGGUCUCCGUCUUUCUGCCCACUCCAGGGUCUGCGCCUUUCGCCACUUUCAUCCAGGCAGUUUCCCUCCUGUGCUGGAUGCUUUAGUGUCAACUUGACACACCUCGGUAGAGGGAGCCUCAGCUGAGGAAUUGCCUCCAUCGGACUGGCCUGUGGCCAUGUCUGUGGGGCACCUUCUUGAUUGUUGAGUGAUGUGGGAGGGCCCAGCCCACUGUGGGUGGUGCCACCCCUGGGCAGGUGGGCCUGUGUUGUCUAAGAAAGGCUGAGCAGGGGCCAGGGGAGCAAGCCAGUAAGCAGCGUU
rnacentral:lncRNA from 1 species